rnacentral:tRNA from 1 species
AUUUGUAUAGUUUAUAUAAAAAUAUUACAUUUUCAUUGUAAAGAAAAGGUUACUUUAUAAAUA